rnacentral:rRNA from 1 species
AUUGAACGCUGGCGGCAGGCCUAACACAUGCAAGUCGAGCGGAUGAAGGGAGCUUGCUCCUGGAUUCAGCGGCGGACGGGUAAGUAAUGCCUAGGAAUCUGCCUGGUAGUGGGGGAUAACGUCCGGAAACGGGCGCUAAUACCGCAUACGUCCUGAGGGAGAAAGUGGGGGAUCUUCGGACCUCACGCUAUCAGAUGAGCCUAGGUCGGAUUAGCUAGUUGGUGGGGUAAAGGCCUACCAAGGCGACGAUCCGUAACUGGUCUGAGAGGAUGAUCAGUCACACUGGAACUGAGACACGGUCCAGACUCCUACGGGAGACAGCAGUGGGGAAUAUUGGACAAUGGGCGAAAGCCUGAUCCAGCCAUGCCGCGUGUGUGAAGAAGGUCUUCGGAUUGUAAAGCACUUUAAGUUGGGAGGAAGGGCAGUAAGUUAAUACCUUGCUGUUUUGACGUUACCAACAGAAUAAGCACCGGCUAACUUCGUG